rnacentral:rRNA from 1 species
GAUGAACGCUGGCGGCGUGCCUAAUACAUGCAAGUCGAGCGAACAGAUGAGGAGCUUGCUCCUCUGACGUUAGCGGCGGACGGGUGAGUAACACGUGGAUAACCUACCUAUAAGACUGGGAUAACUUCGGGAAACCGGAGCUAAUACCGGAUAAUAUAUUGAACCGCAUGGUUCAAUAGUGAAAGACGGUUUUGCUGUCACUUAUAGAUGGAUCCGCGCCGCAUUAGCUAGUUGGUAAGGUAACGGCUUACCAAGGCAACGAUGCGUAGCCGACCUGAAAGGGUGAUCGGCCACACUGGAACUGAGACACGGUCCAGACUCCUACGGGAGGCCGCAGAAGGGAAUCUUCCGCAAUGGGCGAAAGCCUGACGGAGCAACGCCGCGUGAGUGAUGAAGGUCUUCGGAUCGUAAAACUCUGUUAUUAGGGAAGAACAAAUGUGUAAGUAACUAUGCACGUCUUGACGGUACCUAAUCAGAAAGCCACGGCUAACUACGUG